rnacentral:lncRNA from 1 species
UAACCAUUGUAUUCGAAGCUUUUACUCUUCCAGGUCUCUUCGACUUAACUAUAGUUGAUUUUUCACAUUCACGAGCUUCUUGUUUAUCUAACUCUCCAACCUCUAACUCCAUUUCUUCCUUCAACCCGUCAACAUCCUGAAAAAGCUUCCUUUUACCCAUUGGCGACGACUUCACAUUAUUCUUUUUCCUCUAACUCCAUUUCUUCCUUCAACCUGUCAACAUCCUGAAAAAGCUUCCUUUUACCCAUUGGCGACGACUUCACAUUAUUCUUUUUCCUGUUACCGGCACCCUUAGUCCUAGAUCUCA